rnacentral:rRNA from 20 species
AAAUGACUCUCGGCAACGGAUAUCUCGGCUCUUGCAUCGAUGAAGAACGUAGCGAAAUGCGAUACUUGGUGUGAAUUGCAGAAUCCCGUGAACCAUCGAGUCUUUGAACGCAAGUUGCGCCCAAAGCCAUUAGGUUGAGGGCACGCCUGCCUGGGUGUCACAC